GUGGCUUCUGCCUCCAUUCUGACUUCCAAAUCUCUUGCAAAUGCAUAUAAUUGGUUGAACCUAAUUCACAGUUAGAACCCCAGCUGCAAGUGAGACUGGAAAAAUGGCUCUCAGAGUUCCCGCCUCUGCAGUAGAGGAAGACACUCCAGAAGGAGUUGAGAAUGGGUGCUGAGUGCCUCUUCAGGAUGUCUGUCACACCUCAGGAAACCUGCCAGGAAUACCAAAGGGAGUGAAAAAUCCAAGGUUGGGAAGCCCUGGGACAUUGAAGUUACAACUGGACGAUAAAAACAGAGUUUUUUCCUUGUGACGUGACCACUGUGAUGUAAAGCUGUAUCUCCUUCAUUUCAUCAAGAAAUUCUUAAAAUUCUCCCCCAACGUGCUUUCAUCUUUCCCUUCAUUGCCAACUCUGAAUACUUGUCAUUGAAAUUAGGGCCCACCUGGAUAAUCCAUGAUGAUCUCAUCUCAAGAUCCUUAACUUAAUGACAUCUGCAGAGACUGGUUUAUCAAAUAAGGGACUGUGGCUAUAUCGCUGACCUCAAGAAAACCUGCGGACAAAAUCUGCUAAAGAAGUAUCAGCAUCUAUUUCAAAAGUUAGCCAUUAUUUUAAGAAGACUGUGCUGGAAGACGGGUAUUUAACACAAACAGAUGCAAAAGAUACGGGGUUUCACCGUGUUGACCAGACUGAUUUUGAACUUCUGGGCUCAAUCAGUCCACCUGCCUCGGCCUCCCAAAGUGCUGAGAUUAUAGGUGUGAGCCCCUGCGCCUGGCCAGGGAUGCCGUUCUUCACUCUCCAGUGCUGGUGAGAUAGAAUCACCAUAACAGAGUCAAGCGCAGAUAAAAAAGAUCAGCAAAGGCCAGAUUCCCUCAACUUAUUUUGAAUGGAUGGAGAAAUGGUGAAUCUUCGGUUUGUGAGUAUGACCAGUGGGUCAUAUGGGCAGAAAAGCAAGCGGCAGUCUCAAAAGCAGAGGGCAUUUAGAAUCCAAGGUUCAAGCUGGAAGAGAUCUUGGUCACCUCCUUGUUGAAUGCCUUAAUUGAAUGGAUGAGGAAAAUGGGCUCAUAUGGCAGAAAUAAUCUGUAGAGCUAGGACAGGAUCCUAGGUGUCCAGCCCCCUGUUCUAUGGAUUUUCAUUUGGAGAAGUCAGUCAUGUACCUGCCUCAGGGCCUUUGCACCUCUUUUCUCUUUGCCCAGAUCAUUCUUCCCCUAAAUAGCCACAUGGCUUUCUUCCUCAUCUCCUUCAAGUUUUUGCUUAAAUUUCAGUUUGUCAGUGAGGUCUUCUCUGACCAUUUAGACCAGAAUAUGCCAUCUUAAAAUAUGAGUAUGGAAGACAAGAAUAUGCCACCCCAAAAUAUGCUUCUUGGGCAUAAGGAUUAUUUUGAGCUGAUUAUUUUGAGAAACUGCAGACACAGGAGUUCUAAUCUGAAAACAGAUCCCUGUGCAGGGGAAAUCUAUACCUAUCACGGAAGUCUCUGCUUGUAAGAGUGUCUCCCUCUCAGUAUCAGGGCAAGAAGGAUGCGUGGAAGUCACUGGAGACUUUUGUCAAUGAAGCAGGUGCUGACUUAAUUCUCCAAAACAAACCUUACCCUUGUCUACCCUGAGUUUCCUGUUGACUUCCCC
rnacentral:lncRNA from 10 species